GUCGAACGAACUCUGGUAUUGAUUGGUGCUUGCAUCAUGAUUUACAUUUGAGUGAGUGGCGAACUGGUGAGUAACACGUGGGAAACCUGCCCAGAAGCGGGGGAUAACACCUGGAAACAGAUGCUAAUACCGCAUAACAACUUGGACCGCAUGGUCCGAGUUUGAAAGAUGGCUUCGGCUAUCACUUUUGGAUGGUCCCGCGGCGUAUUAGCUAGAUGGUGGGGUAACGGCUCACCAUGGCAAUGAUACGUAGCCGACCUGAGAGGGUAAUCGGCCACAUUGGGACUGAGACACGGCCCAAACUCCUACGGGAGGCAGCAGUAGGGAAUCUUCCACAAUGGACGAAAGUCUGAUGGAGCAACGCCGCGUGAGUGAAGAAGGGUUUCGGCUCGUAAAACUCUGUUGUUAAAGAAGAACAUAUCUGAGAGUAACUGUUCAGGUAUUGACGGUAUUUAACCAGAAAGCCACGGCUAACUACGUGCCAGCAGCCGCGGUAAUACGUAGGUGGCAAGCGUUGUCCGGAUUUAUUGGGCGUAAAGCGAGCGCAGGCGGUUUUUUAAGUCUGAUGUGAAAGCCUUCGGCUCAACCGAAGAAGUGCAUCGGAAACUGGGAAACUUGAGUGCAGAAGAGGACAGUGGAACUCCAUGUGUAGCGGUGAAAUGCGUAGAUAUAUGGAAGAACACCAGUGGCGAAGGCGGCUGUCUGGUCUGUAACUGACGCUGAGGCUCGAAAGUAUGGGUAGCAAACAGGAUUAGAUACCCUGGUAGUCCAUACCGUAAACGAUGAAUGCUAAGUGUUGGAGGGUUUCCGCCCUUCAGUGCUGCAGCUAACGCAUUAAGCAUUCCGCCUGGGGAGUACGGCCGCAAGGCUGAAACUCAAAGGAAUUGACGGGGGCCCGCACAAGCGGUGGAGCAUGUGGUUUAAUUCGAAGCUACGCGAAGAACCUUACCAGGUCUUGACAUACUAUGCAAAUCUAAGAGAUUAGACGUUCCCUUCGGGGACAUGGAUACAGGUGGUGCAUGGUUGUCGUCAGCUCGUGUCGUGAGAUGUUGGGUUAAGUCCCGCAACGAGCGCAACCCUUAUUAUCAGUUGCCAGCAUUAAGUUGGGCACUCUGGUGAGACUGCCGGUGACAAACCGGAGGAAGGUGGGGAUGACGUCAAAUCAUCAUGCCCCUUAUGACCUGGGCUACACACGUGCUACAAUGGAUGGUACAACGAGUUGCGAACUCGCGAGAGUAAGCUAAUCUCUUAAAGCCAUUCUCAGUUCGGAUUGUAGGCUGCAACUCGCCUACAUGAAGUCGGAAUCGCUAGUAAUCGCGGAUCAGCAUGCCGCGGUGAAUACGUUCCCGGGCCUUGUACACACCGCCCGUCACACCAUGAGAGUU
rnacentral:rRNA from 2 species